GUAUUGUAUUGCGUUAAACGCGGCAAACAUUCCAUGAGACUUUAUGGCAGUGUGUGUGUGUGUAAAUACGUAGAACCACAGCAAGGGGGGACAAACCCACCCAGGCCAUAGAGCUACGGAGGGUGCACAGGUGUGGGUGGAUGUGUAAACAGAGUGUGCACGUGACCCCGGCCUGGGGACCAGCAACAACUCGUGUUGACAAUUCGGUAAUGAUCCUUCCGCAGGUUCACCUACGGAAA
rnacentral:misc_RNA from 1 species